CCUGUCCAGUGAACUGCUCACCGACGGCUCACUGUCAACUGUUACUCCGUCUCCAUGGUAACAGCAAGGCGACGACGUGAUGACGUCAAACGACACAGAGGUCGUCUUUAACCUGAUCAUAUAUUUCAACUGUCACGA